GACGAACGCUGGCGGCGUGCUUAACACAUGCAAGUCGAACGGAAAGGCCCCUUUGGGGGUACUCGAGUGGCGAACGGGUGAGUAACACGUGAGUAACCUGCCCUUGACUUCGGAUAACUUCAGGAAACUGGGGCUAAUACCGGAUAGGAAUCCUUGCUGCAUGGUGGGGGUUGGAAAGCUUCGGCGGUUUUGGAUGGACUCGCGGCUUAUCAGCUUGUUGGUGGGGUAGUGGCUUACCAAGGCUUUGACGGGUAGCCGGCCUGAGAGGGCGACCGGCCACAUUGGGACUGAGAUACGGCCCAGACUCCUACGGGAGGCAGCAGUGGGGAAUAUUGCACAAUGGGCGGAAGCCUGAUGCAGCAACGCCGCGUGCGGGAUGACGGCCUUCGGGUUGUAAACCGCUUUCAGCAGGGGCGAAGCUUGUGGUGACGGUACCUGCAGAAGAAGCACCGGCUAACUACG
rnacentral:rRNA from 1 species